GCAUAUCAAUAAGCGGAGGAAAAGAAACCAACAGGGAUUGCCCUAGUAACGGCGAGUGAAGCGGCAACAGCUCAAAUUUGAAAUCUGGCUCUUUUAGGGUCCGAGUUGUAAUUUGCAGAGGGCGCUUUGGCGUUGGCAGCGGUCCAAGUUCUUUGGAACAGGACGUCACAGAGGGUGAGAAUCCCGUACGUGGUCGCUAGCCUUCGCCGUGUAAAGCCCCUUCGACGAGUCGAGUUGUUUGGGAAUGCAGCUCUAAAUGGGAGGUAAAUUUCUUCUAAAGCUAAAUACUGGCCAGAGACCGAUAGCGCACAAGUAGAGUGAUCGAAAGAUGAAAAGCACUUUGGAAAGAGAGUCAAAUAGCACGUGAAAUUGUUGAAAGGGAAGCGCUUGCAGCCAGACUUGCCUGUAGUUGCUUAUCUGGACUUUUGUCCGGUGCACUCUUCUGCGGGCAGGCCAGCAUCAGUUUGGGCGGUUGGAUAAAGGUCUCUGUCAUGUACCUCCUUUCGGGGAGGCCUUAUAGGGGAGACGACAUGCAACCAGCCUGGACUGAGGUCCGCGCAUCUGCUAGGAUGCUGGCGUAAUGGCUGUAAGCGGCCCGUCUUGAAACACGGACCAAGGAGUCUAACAUCUAUGCGAGUGUUUGGGUGUCAAGCCCAGACGCGUAAUGAAAGUGAACGGAGGUGGGAACCCUUUGGGUGCACCAUCGACCGAUCCUGAUGUCUUCGGAUGGAUUUGAGUAAGAGCAUGGCUGUUGGGACCCGAAAGAUGGUGAACUAUGCUUGAAUAGGGUGAAGCCAGAGGAAACUCUGGUGGAGGCUCGCAGCGGUUCUGACGUGCAAAUCGAUCGUCAAAUUUGGGCAUAGGGGCGAAAGACUAAUCGAACUAUCUAGUAGCUGGGUUCUGCGAG
rnacentral:rRNA from 1 species